CAGUAGCGUAUAUUAACGUUGUUGCGGUUAAAAAGCUCGUAGUUGGACUUCGCGUAGACAUUUAGUUUACGUCUGGAUGCUUUGCAUUCGCGUUACCUUGAAGAAAUUAGAGUGUUCACAGCAGCUUCGGCAUUGAAUACAUUAGCAUGGAAUAAUAACAAAGAGACAAUCACUUUGUUGUUGGGCGAUGAUUGUUUAAAGAUUAACAGGAACAGUUGGGGCAUUCGUAUUUUACUGUCAGAGGUGAAAUUCUUUGAUCGGUAAAAGACGGACUAAUGCGAAAGCAUCUGCCAAGGAUGUUUUCAUUGA
rnacentral:rRNA from 1 species